AAAUGUCACUUGUUACCAUGUGGGACACACCAAGCACCUCGGAGGAUGAUUUAGGAUUUGACAGCUAACACUGGGAUUUCUGCCAAGGAGCCUGGCAGGUGUUUUACUGCAUGAGUGAUUGGAGGGAAUAAGAUGGAGAAAAUGGGUGUGUCUGUCUCUCCGGGGGGUUGGCAGCAAAGCAGGAAUGAAACAGCAGUGGGAAGGACAACAAAGAUGUUAAUUUGAAGGAAAACAGUAAAACAUGAAGAGGUGUCAAAAGGUGUCCAUAAACAAAAAGGUGGUUAAGAAGGUUGGACUGCAGAAUAACCAUUUUGCUGCUGUGCAAGCAGUAUGUACUUUCUGGAAAAUACUCCAUAAAUCUUGCCUUUGCAAAUGGAAGAAAUCCUGUGCUCCAGCAGCUUUGUAGAAAAAGCAAUGUUCUAUCUUAUUCCUGUGGAAUUGUUUCUAUUUCCACCGUGCUUUUUUCUGUAGUCUCCCUAUAACAAUUCCAGCUAACACGAGGUGUGUUCCCUCAUCACUCAGCUCUGUGGUGGUUUCCACAGCUAUAAGAUCAACAUGACAAACCAUUCUUACAAACAGACUUUGCUGGAGGUUUUUUUCCCCCUUGAGGUCAAGAGAAAUAAAUGUUAUACUUGGACAGCCCCAUCAAGUGUGUCAUAUGAAGAGGGUUUUAUCAGCACCUGUAGAAUGUCUCACAUCCUGGAGAAGGCACAGUGUGCAUUAUUUUAAAGGUGGUUAUGUCCUAGGGUUUGCUGCCAGAAGAGCUACAGAGUGAACUUGCCAAGGACCAUGAGAGUGUAACACCAAGGAAGCAGAGCCCAGGAGGCAGGGUGAGGGCACAGAACUGGUUCUGAAGCACAUCACGUCCUGUACAAACUCAGCCCUCUCCAUGCACAGCACUUGGCAUGCAAAUGUCAGGGAGCAUUUUCUGACAGGAGAGCAGUGCAGGCCAUGGAAAACUUGCAGCACUUUUAGUACAUCCCAAUGCAAUGUGGGGCACUUCCCUGCCAGGAGGUGACUGGAGUGAAAGAUGAUAACAUUCCAAAUUCAAUAUCAUUUAACUUUUUUUUAAUACAUCAAAUUAUUUCAUAAAUUUGAGUUUAAAAACCCCACCUGUACAUUAUAUUAAAUUUCAAUUUUUAGUGAGAAUAAGAGGUCUUGCUGUAUGUUCUGAGCAACACUGGUGCUUGCCACAAAAUGGUUACUACAGGAUGUCAGUUUCUUGCUUUAGCUGCCCUGAAAGCUCUUCCAUUAAAAGCACAUCCAUUUAGUUGCCAAUAUGAGGCAGAAGAUCAUGAAGAAGCAGCCUGAUCCUUACAUGACACCCCAGUGAGCCUUGAGAGCAGGCAGGAAGAGUGAUAUUGUCAGCAAUAACAGGCUCUGAAACAAAUGAAGUAUUUUGGAAGUGACAUGGAAAGAUUAAGACAGCUGGGCAUGAGAACUGAAAGAGAACGUGAUGAAGAUGGACAAAACUGAUAAGGAGGCACAGAACCCCUGGGUGGCUUCGACUUUGGCAGCACAGAACAGACGUGUUCAGCUCCCUGUGCCAGCCCUGCCCUGCCAAGGGCUGCCUGUGAGGACUGAAAUCUCUGCUCCUGCUCCCACAAGGCUGGUCACCCCUCUCGUGGAGACACAAAGCCAUGACAGAGGCGUUGCUUUCCCCAGGCACUUGUCUCGUUUACAGUGGGGCUGGUUUUUCCAUGCUCUGCCUGCCAAGGAAGCUGAAUCACAGAGGAACACUUGACUGCUGCGUGCUGCUUGUCUUGGCUCUCUCAUGAAGUGAGAAAAACAAACAAAUAUGAGCAGUGUAGUGCAAGAAUGCACAGAGCAGAACUUCCCUUCUCAAAAUAGGGCAUGGAGGGGCUGUAAAAGGGCUGUGUGUGACAUGAUUCCAGUUACCUGGAUAAUCCAGCCAGGGAUAAUAAUGAUUUGGCUGCACAUCCACACCAGCAGGACACUCCUGAGUGUAGAACUGGCCCUGCUGAAGCUGAGAACCAUGAGUUUCCUUUUCUACUGGUUUAAUGAGGAAAUUUCUCACCCCUUUCCUCCUAUCCCAGUAACACGUAUCCCAAACUGGUGGGAGGCAGCUCUUCCUGAUGAUGUGCUGCCAAAUCCUCUGCCUGUGCAAUGGAAACCACAGCCCAGUCAUGCACAGACUAGAAAGGUUUGGAACAUCAGUCUUCAGGACUGCCAAAGCAGCACUGCAGAAUUUAGACAGAACAUUUAAAAAUGGCAGUCUUUUCACAAGAGUUUUAUUUUUAUUGUAAGCUGUAAUUCUCCUCCUGUAUCUCUGCAUUCAGAGUGAAAUGGUAAAGGCUGUGGGUUGCAGAGCACUUACAUCAGUGAGAUUUAUCUCAGCACAUGGAGAGAGGAGAAUGAUGAUAGCACAGGGAAAAGGGAUAGUAAAGACAAUCAGAAAGUGUGGCAGAACAGGCACUGAUUGCACUGGAAAAUCCACAGAGGCCAAACAAAAUAAAUAGAGAAAAAUGAAGAGGACAAAUCUCUAGUAAAAUGAAAGCAUUUGUUGGGAUUUUAUUAUUUC